AUUGAACGCUGGCGGCAUGCCUUACACAUGCAAGUCGAACGGUAACAGGUUAAGCUGACGAGUGGCGAACGGGUGAGUAAUGUAUCGGAACGUGCCCAGUCGUGGGGGAUAACUGCUCGAAAGAGCAGCUAAUACCGCAUACGACCUGAGGGUGAAAGCAGGGGAUCGCAAGACCUCGCGCGAUUGGAGCGGCCGAUGUCAGAUUAGGUAGUUGGUGGGGUAAAGGCCUACCAAGCCUACGAUCUGUAGCUGGUCUGAGAGGACGACCAGCCACACUGGGACUGAGACACGGCCCAGACUCCUACGGGAGGCAGCAGUGGGGAAUUUUGGACAAUGGACGCAAGUCUGAUCCAGCCAUGCCGCGUGCGGGAAGAAGGCCUUCGGGUUGUAAACCGCUUUUGUCAGGGAAGAAAAGGUUCUGGUUAAUACCUGGGACUCAUGACGGUACCUGAAGAAUAAGCACCGGCUAACUACGUGCCAGCAGCCGCCGUAAAAC
rnacentral:rRNA from 1 species